CCUACGGGUGGCAGCAGUGGGGAAUAUUGGACAAUGGGGGGAACCCUGAUCCAGCGACGCCGCGUGAGUGAAGAAGUAUUUCGGUAUGUAAAGCUCUAUCAGCAGGGAAGAAAGAAAUGACGGUACCUGACUAAGAAGCCCCGGCUAACUCCGUGCCAGCAGCCGCGGUAAUACGUAGGGGGCAAGCGUUAUCCGGAUUUACUGGGUGUAAAGGGAGCGUAGACGGCGAUGCAAGUCUGAAGUGAAAGGCGGGGGCCCAACCCCUGGACUGCUUUGGAAACUGUAUGGCUGGAGUGCAGGAGAGGUAAGUGGAAUUCCUAGUGUAGCGGUGAAAUGCGUAGAGAUUAGGAGGAACACCAGUGGCGAAGGCGGCUUACUGGAAUGUAACUGACGUUGAGGCUCGAAAGCGUGGGGAGCAAACAGGAUUAGAUACCCGAGUAGUC
rnacentral:rRNA from 1 species